rnacentral:rRNA from 1 species
GAUGAACGCUGGCGGCGUGCCUAAUACAUGCAAGUAGAACGCUGAAGCUUGGUGCUUGCACCGAGCGGAUGAGUUGCGAACGGGUGAGUAACGCGUAGGUAACCUGCCUCUUAGCGGGGGAUAACUAUUGGAAACGAUAGCUAAUACCGCAUAAAAGUCGAUAUCGCAUGAUAUUGAUUUGAAAGGUGCAAAUGCAUCACUAAGAGAUGGACCUGCGUUGUAUUAGCUAGUUGGUGAGGUAACGGCUCACCAUGGCGACGAUACAUAGCCGACCUGAGAGGGUGAUCGGCCACACUGGGACUGAGACACGGCCCAGACUCCUACGGGAGGCAGCAGUAGGGAAUCUUCGGCAAUGGGGGCAACCCUGACCGAGCAACGCCGCGUGAGGGAAGAAGGUUUUCGGAUCGUAAAGCUCUGUUGUAAGAGAAGAACGAGUGUGAGAGUGGAAAGUUCACACUGUGACGGUAACUUACCAGAAAGGGACGGCUAACUACGUG